UUGGAGGGCAAGUCUGGUGCCAGCAGCCGCGGUAAUUCCAGCUCCAAUAGCGUAUAUUAAAGUUGCUGCAGUAAAAAAGCUCGUAGUUGAAUUUCGGGACCAAUAUGUCGGUCGUGCCUCGGUACGUACUGGCAUCGUUGGUUUCUCCCUUCUGACGAACCAUGAUGUCAUUCAUUUGGUGUCGUGGGGAAUCAGGACUGUUACUUUGAAAAAAUUAGAGUGUUUAAAGCAGGCUCACGCUUGAAUACAUUAGCAUGGAAUAAUGAAAUAGGACGUUUGAUUCUAUUUUGUUGGUUUCUAGGAUCGACGUAAUGAUUAAUAGGGAUAGUUGGGGGCAUUAGUAUUCAAUUGUCAGAGGUGAAAUUCUUGGAUUUAUUGAAGAUUAACUACUGCGAAAGCAUUUGCCAAGGAUGUUUUCAUUAAUCAAGAACGAAAGUUAGGGGAUCGAAGACGAUCAGAUACCGUCGUAGUCUUAACCAUAAACUAUGCCGACUAGGGAUCGGAUGAUGUUAAUUUUUUAAUGACUCAUUUGGCACCUUACGGGAAAC
rnacentral:rRNA from 1 species